GCUGCUGGUUGAGAGUACUAAGCAUAGCACCUCUCCAGGACACCCCAGGAUGAAGAAUGGAGCUGUGGCGGCCUCCCCGCGAAGGGCACCCUCUGGGGGAUGUCAGUCAGGGGCCCUGCCAAGCUCAGCGGGCAGUUCUUCCUGGCCCUGUCCUGCUUUCCUUGAGCCCCCAUCGAUCUGUGCGUCCCUGUGCUCUGCUGGCCCGAAGGACCUUCCAGAGGCUAAAGGAGGCAGGGCCCAGGCUGCCAGAGCUCUGGACUCCUCCUGCCCCAUGAGUGUAGGCUGGAGUCUGCCUUUGGGAGUGCUCGGAGGGGUCCACUGAGGCCUAGGAAGGGAACCUGCCCCAGCCCCAUCUCUGACCAAGACUCUGCCAGCCCACUCUGAUCCAGGGCCAUGAGGUAGGUCCGGGCAGGGCAUUCAGUUCAGAAGUGGCUGGACUGUGUUCCAACGGCAGGGCCACUUCCCUGUUCUUGGGAAGUGGAGGGGGUGGGCGGAGAAGCCUCCAGGCCAGCCCAGAAGGGAAGCCAGCCUCUGCUGAGGGGUGCCUCCAGGUCUUGGUCAGCUCACCUCACACACCCUGUGUGCUCUGGGUGCCCAGAGCCAAGCCAACUGUGCUGCCAGGAAUGUCCUGGAGAGGUGCUGUGCUUGGUACUCUCAACCAGCAGCUGGGACACCCAGUCUGGUGUGGAAGACAUCCCAAGCACUCUGUGGCUGCUCAGUCUGGACCAGGGUGCAGGGAACAAUGCACCUGUGUCCACAACUUUUCCCAGGUGAGCACUGGGCCGUGUGUACAUCGUCCAGCUGGCCCCAGAGCGGGCACCCUUGCUGCAAGCCUCCUCUUUCCCCCAGCCCCUGACGCACUGCAAAGAGCCAGGCUAUCCCAGCCGCCUUGGGGUCACCAGGACUCACGGCUCGAGGCUGUCCACAGCACACCUGCUUGUGUCCUCGCUGCCUUCUGGAGCCCUCCAAGGACCUGCUGGAGCUGAUGGUGCUGCAGGACUGAGCAGUGCCAGGAAGAGGAGAAGAAGAACCACAGGGUCCCUCAGGGUCUGAUGGGGCCGGGGCCAGGGGCAGGGGUGAUCUGCCCUUUGGAGUCCUGACUGACCGCUGCUGCCAACCCCUGUCCGCAUCUGCUCAGGAGUCCAGGCACACAUCCACCAGUUAUUGGCAGACACAACAUCUUUGUUGGUAUGGGGUGCUGAGGAUCGAACCCGGGCCGCACGCCUGCCAGGCAGCAGGUGUCCCCAAGCCCAGCACCUGGGAGCCAAGGCCGCCCCACUCACCACCCUGUGCCGUCUGCACACAAGCGUCUUCCGUUUCUUCGAAGCCUUCAGGACACACGCAGACGAAGCUCCCCGGGGUGUUGUAGCAGUUCUCGUUUUUCCUCUUACAGGCUUUUUCUGCUAGUGAGCAUUCGUCUACAUCUGAAAUAAAAACGUCCAGUUUCCAUAAAUCACUUCUUUUAGCAAAUACACACCAGAGACCAUGAAAUCCACCCCGGGAGGUCCAGGGGUUGCGUGUCAGAGACAGGAGUGACGGAGAUCAGGAGAGGCUUCAAGGGAGAGGCCAGGCCCCUGACUGCAGGAAACAAGAGACACCAGGCAGUGUGUAGGCAGGAAGCCUGGGACACCACCGUGAGUGGCCUGGAGCCAAGGGCUGAGCACCCCCAGCCUCAGCACUCAGGGCUACAACUGGCCACCAUCCCCCGGUCCCCACCCAGGAAAGGUGGAGGACCUGUCUGCAGGAAAAGGAGAGCAAUUUCCCAUCCACUGGGGUGAUGGUUCCUUAGGGCUCACAGUGGUCCCUGGGGAGGUCCCAUCUUCGGCAGAAACGAGCUCACUGACCUGCACACUGGCCAUCCUCUUUCGAGUAGCCAGAGACACACUGUUUACACUUUGCUGGGCCUUUUCCCGUGCAGCCCACACAGGUGGAGUCACACUCUAGAAACGAGGAGGGAAGGGACGUCAGACCACCUUCCACGCCAGUGCAGGGCCUGAGCCACACUGAUGAGGGUCAGAGGCGCCCACAGAGGUGGGAAUUCAGGUUUUUCCCUCAUCAACCACUGGAGUGACUUUGUAAUGACCACCUGUGACCGUCAAACUCCCAAAGAGCCGAGAGAAAGCACUCCGGGCAGGAGAAGCACGGAAUACAACAGUCCUCCCCAAGUCUCUUGCUGAAGUGGAAACAGGACUUGAACUUUUCCCAAAGUCACCUCAAGAUGGGUGACAGAAAUUUGUCCGUCCAGGAGGAACCUGGGAAAAUCUCUGCUGGGGACUACAAGGUCUCCAGUGUGACCUCCUGGUCAGGACCCGGCUGCAACAGCAGAGCUGCAGACAUGGGGGUCUGCGGGGACCAUGAAGCGGCAUGACCUUCUUGGGGACGGAAUGACCCUCCACAUACAUCCCCCUGGCAGGGCAAUUUGAAAACUGAUCCCAGACAACAGUCAAUGUUAAAAGCUUGACCUACAACGGCAGCCGAAGUACGUAAGGGUGAGAAACACACCAGACGGUUCAAGGGAGUGUGGAGAAGGCCGUGCCCCCAGCCCCUCGUGUGACGCACGAGUUGGCAGCAUGCUGCCGAGGGAGGAGGACCAAGGCCUGUGGCAGAGCCAGAGGUGACCGGUGGACCUGAGGUCCAAGAGCCCCCCAGCCCAGAGAGGACGAUGUGCCCACGCCAGACCUUCACACGUGUAGGAGCCAUUGACGUUCUCACAGUACUGCGUCUCACUGCAGGGAGGCGUCUCAGCCGCACACUCAUCCACAUCUGGAACGGAAUAGCAAGGCUGCCUGGGUGGACACCAGUCCCCACAGCCACCAUCCUGAGACCUCCAAGGGCAGGGGUGGGGACGAGGUGGCAGCCUGUCAUGCUGGGCACUUGGCACCAGGUGGACGGGCUGCAGUGGGAGCCAUGACAAGCCUCUGGUACUCGGGCACCUGGGGUCCUCCCCCAGGGUGAAACCUGUGGGGCCACGCCCCCAAUGUGCCUAAGGCUGAGCAGCUGCUGAGAGGAAAGAGCACAACCAAUGCCCACAGACGGGGAGGGCACCACCAAGCACCUGGCUGCAGCAAGGCCAGGCUGGUGCCCGCUCUCCAGGAUGCUACAAAGUGGUUACAGUAGAGGGGGUAACACAAAAGAGGACUGGAGCAGGUGGUGGCCACAGGCAGGCAGGAAACAAGCGGACAAUGGUGUGUCGGCCAGGACAGAGCCUCCCAGCACCACGACGCAGAGCACAGAGCAGGCCUUCAUUGGGGCAGUGCCCCAAGGUGGUCACCUCCCCUGCUGGGCAAGAAGCCAGAGCCGCUGUGAGUCAGGGUGGUGGAAGGUCACAGGCAGCUGGUGGCGGGACGCAGCUCUCCAGGGGAGGUGUGUGCUUCAGUUUCUCUGGGCCUGCACACCAGGACAGAGGUCCCCCCACAGGACCGGCACAGUGGGGUGUCGGCCCAGGGAGGCCCCCAACCCUGCCUGAGAUGGAAGGUGAGCUCUUGGUACAGUCAGCCACCCAGGGGGCAGCUUGGACCAGCAGCUCCCAGCCACCCUGGGCCACUGGCAACAAGGACACUGUGGCAGGGACAGUCCUUCCUAAAACUGUCACACAUCAGCCUCUACCCAGGCCAUGAAAACACCAGAUCACCUUCUCACCAACCAGAACAGGGCAGAGACACAGCAGUGGAUGAGAGCCCGCUACGACCCUCAUGCCCCUGUGGGGUCCCCUGGCCCGGUGCCCUCCUCACCCAGGCAGGUGUCCUCCACGCGCGCCCAGCCCUCUUCACACUCAAGGCAGUCUCUGUUGGUCGGGCCCGAGCAUGUCUUGCAGGACUCGUCACAGGCUGGAAGGCAAAGCAGCUGCGUCAGAAACGCCCUGUAAUCUCUACCCUCCUUUCAGAAAGAGGACCUCGAGUUCAACAGCGGGAUCGGAAGGAAGGAGAACAAAAGUUCCAGGCAAGCAAGAGUGGGUCAGCAGGGGGAUCUGCUCGUGUGGUCCUGGUGUUUACAGACUUCGGGAGGAAAGCAGAAUGCAGGCUCCGGGGGCCUUCAGGACUCCAGAGGGUUUUCAGGCCUGGAGAGGACAGCCACCCGAACUCCAGAGCCCACGGGCUGGGUGGGUACACCCCUAACACUGAGAGAGGAAGACAAGUGCAGGGAUGCGAGGCCUGGCCUCACCUGUCCCCGAGAGGCACCCUGAGCAGAAGUCCAGGAACAGCUCCCCUGGGCCAGGGCGCUGAUGGGGAGAGCUGUGCUGCGGGAGGGAGGGCAGCUUUGCAACCAGUACUGUGCGUGAGAGCCAAGGCCGCACUGCCCUGUGUGACCUGACGGGCAGCUCUGGAGGCUCCCUCAAGGGAGGACCCCUGGGGAAGCCUGCCCAGCCCUGGAGCUGUGGCCAAGCCAGGGUUAGCAGGACCCAUCCGCAGGAAGGGAGCUGCACAGGGACCAGGCAGGGGUCAGGCACCCGAGUGGCCUCCAAGAGUCCUUCUAGUUCCUGUGCAGCCAACUCCUGCAAGGCUCAGCGUGCCUGCUCCCUCCACAUCGCUGUCUUGAGUGGCCAUGAGCACAUCCCGUGUGCCACACUAAGUGCCAAGCCCAAGAACCAAAGGCACCUACCACAGGGGUGACAACCUGCCACUCAACGAGAGACUUCGAGUCCUUCCCAGAAUGGCUCACAGCAGGCAUGAGUAGCUUUUCCUUCUGGGGGCUGUUCAGUGGUGUUUCUCUGGUACUGGGGAUUGAACCCAGGGUGCUUUACCAUUGAGCCCCAGCCCCAGCUCUUUUGUGACAGGGUGUCACUAAGUUGCUCAGGGCCUUGCUAAGCUGCUGAGGCUGGCUUUGAACUUGUGAUCUUCCUGCCUGAGCUUACCAAACUGCUGGGAUUACAGAGGUGCACCCCUGGCCUGGCUCAGGGCUGUUUCUUUUUUUCUUUUGAAUUUCUUUUAGUUGUUGAUGGAUGUGAUAACUUUAUUUAUUUAUUUAUUUUUAUGGGGGGUGGUGAGGAUCAAACCCAGUGCCUCACACAUGCUAGGUAAUUGCUCACCACUGAGCCACAUUCCCCAGCCCAAUUUUGUGUUUUAUUUAGAGACAGGGUGUCACUGAGUUGCUUAGCACUUUGCUUUUGCUGAGGCUGGUUUUGAACUCAUGAUCCUCCUGCCUCAGCCUCCAAAGCGGCUGGGAUUAUAGGCAUGCUGCACUGCACUUGGCUUAAGGGUCAUAUCUUCAGGUCUCCUAAGCUCCCCUGGACACCUGGGGCCAAGGAGUCCCUGGCUGCCCCUGUUGCCACCUCCACAGCUCCCGCAGAGGGCUUCCCACAGCCUCACUGUCAGGUGGGCUGGGCAGCACACUGGCACUGGGCCUACCUGUGCAGAUGUUGUGGGUCUCAUUCCUCAGUGAGCUGAAGUAGCUGCUCACACAGUCCUUGCAGAGCGGUCCCUGGUAUCCGAUGUGGCACUGACAGGACCCAUCCCCCUGUCUGCUGCCAUCUCCGUUGCAGUGGCCAUUUCCGCUGCAGGGCCUCUUAGAGCCCCCCUGGCAUGCUGGGGUGGGGGAAUGACAAAAAUCCAUGCUCAGCACACACCCAGGGGCAGCUAGUGGGAAAACUCCAGGACACCCCUCAAGUUACUUUUAACCAAAGAGUGUUUGGAUUUCUCACUAAAAUCCAAGCCCUGCACAUUCCUGCUAAUAGAUAAGCCUGCAAGUUUGCUUAUGGCACCUGGAGACACCAGCCUCCAGGGGCUGACAGGGCUGAUGCUGGAUUACCUGCACAGGAACAAGCCACAUCUCCUGGUUUCAUUACAAAGCAUGACUUUGGGAAGAUUCAAGGUUGCCUGUGCAUAGGUGGCGGGACCCCCAGGAGGCAUGUGCGUCCAGCACGCAGCCAGGGAAAGUGGGAGAGAUGGGUGGAAGUGGCUGUAGCACUGGAGGCAGGGUGUGAACAUGAACUGCCACCUAACCCAGCCUGACUAACAUGACUGGCUUCUAUAACCCAACAGUAAGUUGCAGCUCCAAUUUCAACGAGUGCUUCACAUCAGGGCCAGUGGACAACCCAGCCACAGUCCUCUGCAGUGUGGGGGCUGCUGAGUCUGUGAUCCUUGCACCAAAAGAGCACUGGAACUGACUCAGAGUUCUGCAGUCCGAGGGAGAACUUCUCUGCAGCUAAGCAGAGAUGCUGCUCCCCCAGGGCAGGUGUUGGAGGGUCCCUGCUGCACACAGGAGGCAGGGUCCCACAUACCAGCUAAUGCAGCUAAAGCAGCCCAGGACCCCUGUGGGCUUUUAAACACUUGGGAACCAGAAAGAAACUAGAGGAAUGAUGUAGACUUGAAAUCUCCCCAAGAACAUACCACUGCAGUCUGGCCCAUAGGUGCCUGGAGAACAGCACACUUUCAGUGUCUGCACACAGAACCACUCGAACAGGUCAGGGUACUUCUUCUUCCUAAUGGUUUGAAAAUGUCCAUUGAAUGCAGCAUCAAAGAACACUUGCUUCCCUUAUCCUGUGGGAGAUGUUUCAAGGGGCAAGUGGACAUGUGGACCCUGGAGUACCAAGCCCUCUAAAUGUGUUUUUUACCUACAGAUGCAAACCUAUGAUGAGGUUCAAUUUGUAAUCAGACACAGUGAAAGAUUAGCAAUAACAAUGAUUUUAAAAAUACUGUAACAAGAACUUAGUAAAAUAUAUGAAUUGCUCUUUUCUGGG